rnacentral:rRNA from 1 species
UGCCAGCCGCCGCGGUAACACGGGGGGCGCAAGCGUUAUUCGGAAUUAUUGGGCGUAAAGGGCGCGUAGGCGGUCUUAUCGGUCAGACGUGAAAGUCCACGGCUCAACCGUGGAAGUGCAUUUGAAACUGGGAGGCUUGAGUAUUGGAGGGGGUGGUGGAAUUCCCGGUGUAGAGGUGAAAUUCGUAGAUAUCGGGAGGAAUACCGGUGGCGAAGGCGACCACCUGGACGGGUACUGACGCUGAGACGCGAAAGCGUGGGGAGCAAACAGGAUUAGAUA